AGCAGCCGCGGUAAUUCCAGCUCCAAUAGCGUAUAUUAAAGUUGUUGCAGUUAAAAAGCUCGUAGUUGAAUUUCGGGAUAGGCGCAUCGGUCGUGCCUCACGGGGUAUGAACUGGUGCAGUCAAUUUCUCACCUUCUGGAGAACCGCGAUGUCCUUAAUUGGAUGCCGCGGGGAACCAGGACCUUUACUUUGAAAAAAUUAGAGUGUUUAAAGCAGGCAUUUUUGCUUGAAUACAUUAGCAUGGAAUAAUAAAAUAGGACGGCAUGGUUCUAUUUUGUUGGUUUCUAGGACCACCGUAAUGAUUAAUAGGGAUAGUUGGGGGCAUUAGUAUUCAAUUGUCAGAGGUGAAAUUCUUGGAUUUAUUGAAGACUAACUACUGCGAAAGCAUUUGCCAAGGAUGUUUUCAUUAAUCAAGAACGAAAGUUAGGGGAUCGAAGACGAUCAGAUACCGUCGUAGUCUUAACCAUAAACUAUGCCGACUAGGAAUCAGACGAUGUUAAUUUUUUAAUGACUC
rnacentral:rRNA from 1 species